UAAGUUUGAGUAAACUCUGGGAAUUGGUGACGGACAGGGAGGCCUGGCAUGCUGUAGUCCAUGAGGUUACAAAGAGUCGGACAUGACUGAGCAACUGAACUGAACUGAAUGUAAAAGAACUUUGUAAAAAACAAAGUCUUUAUGUCUUCAAAGAAGAAGCCUUAAAGUGAAAAGAAAAAGUCUGAAACAUGCAGCAAAUUAGAAACUAAAGUUUGAUUAAGAACUAAACUAAGAGUCAAAUCAGUAAGUCAAAUCAGUCAUAAGUGUCAGGAUACAUAAAGUCAUACUUAGAAUUUUGUAGUCUGUACAGUUUUUUGGUUCCAUUGUAAACAUUUGGUGACAGAAGAUUUUCAAUAAGUGUUUUUUGCAAACAAUGGAAAGUCAUGUUAUUUCUAAAAUUCCAUGAUCGGAUGGUAGUAGUUUUCUUUUAGUAUAACAUAUGAACGAUACUUAUUUCAAAAAAAGCCCUGAAACCCAUUUCACACAUUUUGUUGUUAUUAACGUCAACUAAUGAGUGUAUUUCUCAAACAACUGCAGAUGUUUUUAAGAUUUUGUUUUUCAGCACAGACUCAACCUGAUAGCAACCAUCUGUCCUGGAUGAUUCAAGUUCAUCUCUCUGAAAGUGUGAGAAUGGAUUUGAUGUUGACCUACUGGUGCAAGAGAAAAACCUGCAUUAGAUGACGGGCUGCAAGCUUCUCCAUAACCUGGUGUCCAGUAAUAAUGCCUUUUAAGGCCAUUGGAGACUUCUGCAAGGUACACGUGUCCAUCUACCACAAACGGCUCCACAUCUGUAUUGUCUGAUUUUAGACGGCCUGUGUGAAUUAAAUCUGAAUAUGCCUAGGAUUUUUAAGAAAAACUGUAUCAUUAAGAAAAUAGUUUAUUCACUUUACAAAUUUCAACAUUCACAUUUAGAUGUGAUAAUUUAUAGUCUGAAAUAUUCUGAAUAACUGCUGAAUUUUAAUAUUUUUCAGGUAUUGUUCACAGUGUGUAAAUUACAAUCUUAUAAAACUUAUUUCUGCAUUUUAA